ACCAUCUAUGAAAUAAUGUGUUCUGUAAUAAUCUAAAAAAAUCACUAUUUGUGUUUUUCUCUUUGAAGGGAGUCUUUUGUGCUGUGUUGCCAAGCCUGAAAUGUUCCACUCUGUGUCAUGUUGGUGGGAAUAUGAAGGCCAGAUACUGGCAGCUGGUGUCUGCUCAGUGCCUGCAGAUGAGGAGUAAAUGAUGUUCCUAGGCAUGCUGCAAGACAGGUUUGAUGUUUUGUUUAGCAGCCUGCUGUGCCUUUGGACCUGAGAUUUCUGAGGCGCUUCUCUAUCCAUGCUUACCAUCAUUCCAAUUGUUUGUAACAUUGUUUAUUUAGUCUUAACAUACAAGAUGUUCCUUUGUUCUUAGCAGUUGAUGUAUAGUUCAAAAGACUUUUAGUUGUUUUUCUUUUUUUUUAUUUGGUAUUUUUUCCUGUUACAUUUUUACCCUUGAAGCAUACAGAUCUCCACAACCUGAGUAAGAAUCAUAGCUGAAGGAGAAAGAAAAAAGCUGCACAUACAUACAUAAGUUUUAAGCAAGAAUACAUUCAUGUGUCUCAUCAGUAGCAGUAAGGAGCAAAAGGCCUUGGGUACUGAAAUCAUGAUUCCACAGUUACUUCCAUCCAGAAUAAAUGUAAAUGCUUAUGAAAGCAGUGAGCCCUCACCCUUUCUUUUCACUCUUGCUAUGCAGUCUUGUAAUCUGCCUUUUGCAUCCUUGGCAGAGGUGCAGCCCUGCAGCAAGCUGAACACCUUUCAGUCAUGCAGGUGAAAUUGCAAUAAAGGUUUAACCAAGGUCUGACACCAGCUUAGAUGUCAUGUAAAUCAUUGAUAGUUUUGCUUAACAGAAAAUUAGGCAAAUCAUUCUUUAUGCAGGAGGAAUUCACAAACCUCUCUUUUUAACUUCAUCUGGGCUUUUCCUCCCUCUAAUUUCCGUUGCAUCCUGCUAUGUCCAAUACAGUACUCCUGAUGGGACCACUGCCAGUUUUUAAAGCACUAAAAUAAAGUAUCUGUAACUUUUUGGGUCAGGACUGAACAACCAUAAUCCAAGCAUAAGCCAUUAAUGAUACUGUGGUUUCCCACAUAUUUUGCUGUUUGAUCCCUAGUGUGCUUAGUAAAUUAGUGUAACUAACAAGGGGAGAAAGAGCUGUAUAUCACAGAGCCAACCCUCCCAGGGCUGGUGCACAGCUGCUCUUCAUACUAUGCCUCAUGAGAGCUACAUCAUACUGCAACAUGAUGCAGCUAAUAGAAUCAACAAGAGCAACCAUCAGGAAUCUUCAAAUCAUUAGCUGUGGCACAUUUAAUAGUUCCUUCAACAUCUCUGUUCAUUCUUCUCACACUAGCUAUUAAGCUAUCAUUUAUUUUAUGGGUGUAGUGCCUCCAGACAUGUGCAAGCAACAGUUCCAUUCGUGUUUUGUUCAGCGGAGACCAGAUGAUGAGUAUACGACUAUCAUAAAAUACCUUGUAAAUUCAGGGAAACCUGUGCAGCAGCUUCAUUAAUCUCAUUUUAUUUCUAAAUGUGCACUGAUGAGAUUCAGCUGAAAUUAUCUGUCUUCAAGAAUGAACUCUGGUAAAUGAAUGAAAGAGGGCCAGGCUAGGGACUGCUUUCUUCAAUUUAUAUGUGGAAAAACAAAGCAAGGCAUCUUUUCAUCUGCUCAGCAAAACAGUGGAGAUUGGGCAGUUUAUACCUGCUGAAAAUCCAGGAUCAUACCUUUAUUUGUCAUGAAAAUUAUAGUCUUUUAUACUGACCUUUGCUUUCUCUUCAGUCUGCAUUUUUGUCUAUACUGCAGUCCCCAUGUCUGUUCUGCAGAACCCCAUUUUCUUCUCUGACACUGCACUAGGUCUAUAAUAGCCUACAAAGACUUCCUCAUUGUCUCUUCACCAUAUAUUUCCUAAUUUUUUUUUUCUCCACCGCUGUCUAUCAUAAUAUUCUGCAAUUAAAUUAUUUGAAACAGUAUAGGCCUAAUAAACUCUGUUGGACUGCUUUUUGUAAUGAAUAUGAUGUUACGGUGUCAAAUCUGCAGGAUCAAGCUUUGCAUUUAACUGCGAAAGACUUUCAGACUUUGGAUGAAAUUCAGCCCUGUAUUUCAAUUCAUCUUCAGGCAGAGUAUAACUGUUCGCAAGAACUAAUGGUUUUGUGUGAUAUGCUGUAUCAUACUUAUUUCCCAUAGCAACAAAUUUCUGUGUCUGCUAUGAAUAACUGAUCUCUGUUAUAGAACAACAACAUUAUUUAAUGUAUCAGAGAUUUCUAUGUAUCUGUCAAGACAUUGUGCAACUUAAGCACCAAAUAAAUAUUUUAAUAAUAAUUUCA